rnacentral:rRNA from 1 species
UACGAGGGGGGCAAGCGUUGUUCGGAAUUAUUGGGCGUAAAGAGCCCGUAGGCGGUUCGGUAAGUCAGGUGUGAAAUCUCCACGCUCAACGUGGAGGCGCCACCUGAAACUGCCGUGACUCGAGUCCGGUAGGGGAGUGUGGAAUUCCUGGUGUAGCGGUGAAAUGCGCAGAUAUCAGGAGGAACACCGGUGGCGAAGGCGGCUCACUGGCUCGAACCUGACGCUGAGGUGCGAAAGCGUGGGGAGCAAACAGG